CUCAGUGAGUUUCCUGAUUUCUACUCACCUUCCUGAGGGCUGCUGUCUUUACUCCCUCCACAGAUCCAAGGGCUCUCCUUUCCAGAGGCAACCACACACAUACAACCAGAAAUAAUGCUUCACCAGCUCUCCGCUGAUCCAGUCUAGCUGGAAUGCAGGAUUAACCAGCACAACUCAGGCCAUGUGAACGCUGGCCAGGUUCCCGUGAGCAUCGCAAGCAGUGAUCAAAAUGUCCCAGAGAACCGUUGAGAGCUGUGCAUGCAGAGGAGCUGGGGACCCUGAAGUUACACCACUUUGAAGCUGGUUGUUGUGACAGUGGUUGAUGAAAAGAUGGGCUGGAAGUAUGGGACAUAGGCACGACACUUGUCUGAUGCAAAUGAUAAUUCCAUGUCAAAAGCUAUCAAAUACUCCUAGGUCAGAGAAGAGGCAAAAAUAUUGGAAAAAAAAUUCAGAUAUUUUAUGGAGUAGGUUUCAUUUUUAUACUUAAAGCUAUUAGCCAUUAUUAAAAUUAAUGUUACCAUCUUUAGCUAAAAUAAAAUGUAUUGUUCUUUAAUAAAUGUAUAGAAACAACUGAAAUUGGAAUUUUAAGUUAACAGACUAUCACUAGUCCUUAGGGUCUAUCUAGAAUCAAGUUAAAAGAUUGCUGUAAUUCCUGAUAUCAGCACAUGGAGAAAAGAUGAGAGAAAUUCUUCAUUUACUUUGUUUGGAAUGUGCUUGAGUUGGGCAAGCAAUACCACCCUGUUUUUUUUUUUUUUGUUUGUUUGUUUUGUUUUGUUUUGUUUUUACUAUGCGAAACAAUACUGAUUUUUCCUCUCGAAUCAGGUCCAUUUUCUACUGUCUGGGCCUCAGGGCGGCCAUCUGCUUCUAUGCUUCUGUCUAGCAUUUCACAUAAUGUAGCAUAAAUUCUCUGGAUUCCAGAACCGUGAAGGUGAUAACUUUGCACAAUGCCAAAGGGAAAUAUAUAUUUGUAAAUGCAGCAUGGUGAAGUUUCCUGGGAUUAUUACAUCAUGUUAUUAAACGAAGCAAAGAUUGGAAGGCACUUAGAGCAAUAUCCUACACCCAGUAAGAGCUCAAUAAACAUUGUCUUUAUCAUAAAAGUCAUAGUCACCAUCACAAGGAAGCAGCCAAGCAUAACAGAGUAGACAUCAGUUUAGGAGUCAAAAGUUAGAACUUCUUCUUCCGUUAUCAUGUAUCAGUCUUGUGGUUUUGCGAAAACCAUUUAACCUCUCUCAAAUUCAAUGUUCUUAUCUGUACGAAAGGGAUAAUGAAUUCUAUUUCACAACGUUGUUAUGAGGAUGAAACAAGAUAACUGCUUUGAAAUACGAUAACAUUUCAAAGUUCUGUACUGGGGUAGGCAUUUCCUACAAGCUGUUGGUCUGAACAGUGGCCUUUCCAUUAUGACUGCUGGCUGCUCAGAGCAGUGGCUGGAUUUUGCAAAACCACAAAUAACUAUUUUGUGAAAUGAUCUUAUUUCUGUCACCCUGCUAACCCUUGAUUUUCAUGAACAAUAUGUGUUUCUUUGAAUUCCAUUUACCUGGCUAUCUUAGGCCUUCAGGUUAAAAAGAAAAGUAACUAUAUCUUUACAGAAUUCUUUGUUUGCCAUUGAAGAAACUUGAUAUUAAACUUUCAAUACAAAAUUAAAAAAAAUUCUAACUAUUCUUUCUGAUAUCUCUAUUUUUUCUUGCUUAAACUUUCCAAACUCUCAAGAAUUAAUGUAAUCAUCUAUAAUCACAAAAAAAAAAAUUUAGUCCAAGGAAGUCUUAAAAGGACAGUAGAUUUCAGGCAUGUGCAUAGAUUUCUGAGCAUAUAGUUAAGGAAUAACAAUACACUUCUCAGCAAAUGGGGCCAAUAAGGUCUCAUUUUUGAGUGGUACACGUCCAUAAAACACCAAAAGAAGUACGUUUCUGAAAAUCUUUUUACUUCUGUAAAAAAGAAAUGACUCUUCAUGUGAAUUUAGAAAGGGAAUUUUUUUUCUCUAUAUAGUGUGUAAUAACUCAGGCUGCUUAGUAUUCCAUUGGAAGCCUCCCUACUCCAAGUCAUAUUGGGUUUUGAGAUUGUUCAGAAACAAUAAUUUAUAAACUAUUGAGAUGAGUGAACAGUAAAUACAAGUUUAUAAAGACUGAUACUUUUUGUGUUUCAAUUGUCAGCAUGUAAAAUACGACAAGAUGGUAAAUAACAGAAGAUGAGCAGUAGGCUCUAGGCAUCAUUCUAAAAAUUAUCGUAAUUGUUAUUUCUGAUUGUGAGAUCUUCAUACAAGGCAGCAAAGUACUGCCUGAUCAUUGGCAACUAUAUUAGGCAAAGAAAUGAAUGCAGGGGAAGCCAAGAUAUAACCCUGGAAAAUCUGACUAGCACAAUUUGACACACAGCAAUAUUGCUGGGUCUCCUUAUCCAUGGAUUUUCCAUCUUUGCAUCCAACCAAAUAUACUUGAAAAAUUGCAUCUUUAGGACACACACAAACAUUUAUAUCAUUAUUCCUUAACCAAUGCAGUGUGGUACCUAUUAACAUAGCAUUUACACUGUGUUAGAUAUUAUAAGCAAACUAGAGUUGAUUUAAAUAUAUGAGAAAAUUGCAUAGGUUACACACAAACCCCAUUUCAUAUAAGGGAGUUGAACAUCUGUGUACGCUGGCAUCUUCUGGUAUCUGAAUCUAUCCCCAUGGUUACUUAAAAACAACUUUAUUAAUAAAAUAUUAGGCAAGUAUUUGAUGUCUGGGAAGACUACAUUCAUUUAAAACUUUUGGUAUAGGCAUUGAGACCAAAUUUGUAAUGUGAUAUUUUUCUCAGUCUAUUCUUUGCUAGUUGCAUAUAAAAUGUAUUUUGUUACUAUUUUGCUUUUACUACCAGAUCUUUAAAGUGAGAAUGGCAAAAUCCAUUAGUUUCAAAUGGCUACCUGUAAGUAACUCUUCUGGAAAAUAUGAACAAUAAUUUGUUUUUCAGAGUUUUCAUGAAAGUAAUUUGAAAUAUGUUCUCAGUGUUCUAAGGAUCAUGGACUCUGGCAACAGAGCUUUGAAUAUUUUAUAUCUCAGAUUCUUUGCUUAUAAAAUAAAGGUACGAACAUUAUGUAUCUUGGAGCAUUGUCUUGAUAUGAUAUUAAAUACAAUAAUGGCAAGUGAUUAUAA